UUUAACGUUGGAAUCAAUAUGUCAGUUACUGCCCUUUGUUUAUAUUCGAUAAGGAUGAAUAAAUCAAAAUAAAUUGCAAUUUAUCAUACGUGAAAACCCCAUGUGUUUAUUAUGUGUGUGAUGCAAUUAUAUUGUUCAACAGCAGUUGAAGUAUAUGCGCUUCCCGCCGCUCAAAUUAUUGUGCAAUGAUUAAUUUUGCUGUACUCAUCACUGACAUCAGUUAAAGAUUUUUGGCCAAAGGAAACAUCUAUUCCAAGCUGGCAGAUCUUCAUGGAAUCAGCAGAUCAUCUUUCGUUAAUUGACAUGCCUUCACGAGUUCAAUCAGCAAACAUAUGAUCGGUUUCCAGUCCGCGUACAACAACAAACUUGCAUGAAGGUUGGAUUCUGCCACAAGGCCCGGGAGCAGUGGAUGGGACUCUCAUACCCAUAAUACUGAAUAUGUUAUAUUACACACAUGCAGUUGAACACAGCAGGAACUCUUGAAGAAAAAAAUGUGUAUUUUUUUUAUUCGAACUUAAAUGUAAAAUAUAUAUUCAAUUUUAGCUCGACUAUACCUUGAAUGAUAAGCUGUGUAUAAAAUUAUGGUAAACAUGCAACAUCCUUAUAUCACUGUUUCUAUUACAUAUUUUCAUUAAAAGCACUUAUGUAUUCAGGGUCAUUAUGUCAUUGUGAGGUCACUGACCAAGUUGCUUAUCUCUGACCUGCAUUUAGCUUAAUAAUGCCCCUUUUGUACUUAAAAUGUUCCACUUAAAUUGUGUGUACAGCUGCUCCAUAUCCCUAUAUUUUCCACAGAUAAUCCUUCACAUAUGUCGUCAGAUUUUUUUAAAAACAUAUAAAUAAUAUUUCUUUGGGUCAUUGUUAUAACCACUACAAAUAUUUACUGUUGUUGCGAAUAAAGUUGUUAAAACUGUUUAAACUCGAUGUUGUGUUAGUGAAUCUUUAAGAGAAGAAGCUUCUUGAAUAUUGUCACUUUAGCUUCUUACUUCACAAUCUUUUUGUUCAACAUGUAAUUAA